rfam:Triticum aestivum genome assembly, contig: Triticum_aestivum_CS42_TGACv1_scaffold_434205_5DL
CAACUAUUACCUCCGUCUAAAAAUUCUUGUCUUGAAUUUGUCUUUGAUAUGGAUGUAUCUAACACUAAAAUGUGACUAGAUACAUCCGUACUAGACAAAUCUAAGACAAGAAUUUUGGGACGGAGGAAGUAUAUA